GACCCUGUAGCUCAGUUGGUUAGAGCACUGCACCGGAAUCGCAGGACCACAGGUUCGAUUCCUGACAGAGGGUCU
rnacentral:tRNA from 1 species